CGGGUGCGUAACACGUGAACAACCUUCCGAAAUAUGGGGGAUAGCCGGCCUAACGGCCGAGUAAUACCGCAUACGCUCUCGAUGAGGCAUUUCAUUGAGAGGAAACCUCCGGGGUAUUUCGAGGGGCUCGCGGCCUAUCAGCUAGUUGGCGAGGUAACGGCUCACCAAGGCAACGACGGGUAGCUGGUCUGAGAGGAUGGCCAGCCACAUUGGGACUGAGAUACGGCCCAG
rnacentral:rRNA from 1 species